rnacentral:piRNA from 1 species
UAAAGUGAAAACAUGGAGUGUUCAGG